AAUUUUUCCUUCUCUAAAAAGAGUCCCACCACUCUAUUCCAAGCCUUGAGAAUAGCUAGGAAGAUCUCUUGGUKGUYCUUCAUUGGAGCUAUUUGAAGAUUUUUGAAAAGCUACAAAGCGGUGAUGAUGGUCUAAUGGAGUCCAGUGCUGGUUCCAGCAAAGGUUCUAAGAAGUCUAGCAUGAGUGAUGAAGAUUGGGAGGAAAUGGAUUUGAGAGCUGCAAGCGCAAUACGAACAUGUUUGAAUAAGAAUAUUCAUGCGAAUGUGCAUGGAAUUCGACAGCUAAAGAACUUUGGGAGAAGCUCGAAGCGUUGUAUCAGGCAAAGGGCAUCUCAAAUCGGCUGUACCUGAAGGAGCAGUUUCACACGCUGCGAAUAGAGGAAGGUACGAAAGUUUCAGAUCAUCUGAGUAAUCUCAAUAGCAUCAUCUUUGAGCUGGAGGUGAUCGAAGUGAAGAUAGAUGACGGAGAUAAAGCUCUCAGGCUCAUCUUAUCACUUCCACCUUCUUAUGAACACAUGAAACCGAUCUUGAUGUAUGAGAAUGAUACUUUGAAUUUUACUGAGGUUACUAGUAAACUAUUGUCAGAGGAAAGAAGGCCGAAUAGUGAAGGGCGUACUUCACAUGAAGAUUCAGCACUGGUAGCUAGCAAUUGGAAGAAGAAGAAUGACUCCGUACAAAAGAAAGCUUGUUGCUGGGGAUGCGGACAGUCUGGACACAUGAAGAAAGAUUGUCCCAACAAAGCCAGUUCGUCAAAGGGCUCUAGGCGGGAUGCUGACAGUGUUUCUCUCAUCAGGGGAGACGAUGAUCAGUUCCUUUGAAGAGAGAGAGCAUUCAUCCUCAUGGUAUGUCCGCUUUACCAUAAUAGAGGAUGUGAUGUUAGCGGUUCCACAAGUUUACACAUGGGCAUUGGCUUGGCGGUUAUGCAAGGUGUGUGUGGUGGAAGUUAUGUCGAUGGUUGAAGAACUUCCAAAUGAGCCAAGUAGGUGGAAGUUGCACCAUAAAUCUGAGCAGGAUUUAUCGACAUGUGACGAGGAAGAAAAAUCCUUGAAGGCGACAUUCCAAGUGAUCUACUUUUAUGGUGGAGUAGGCUAUAGUUCUCUGAAUUGUGAAUUAUGAUUGUCAGUGAAGACAAUGAGUGCAGUAGAAGCUGUGAACUUUUUUUUCAAUAUCUUGCCAAGGUGGAAUUUGUUGGGUUUUGGCAAAAUAUUGGAAUUGAAGUUGUCCCACAUUGGAAGAAUACAAGGAUGGUCUCCAUGUGCUAGAAGUUGUCCCACAUCGGAAAAGUACAAGGAGUAGAUGUGUUCCAACUACUAUAAAAGGAGCUCAUGGGCUUGGGUUUUAAUCAUCCCAAUUGAAAUACUUUAAACCUGAUAUACUAGCUCUAGUUAACUGAGCGGUAUUUGCUUUGAAAGAGUGUUUUAUGUAAUUGGGAUCAGGGAUAGAAAUCUGUGUGAUUGUAAUAAUUUUUCACAUAGUGGAUUUUCCCUUGUGGGCCGUGGUUUUUUCUCCAGUUUGGAGUUUUUCCACGUUAAUUCUUGUAUAUCUUUAUUUUAUUGCUAUCUUUAAAUUUUUCAGUUA